CCAAUGUGUAAUUUUCACUUGAUGGUCUCAACAGGUUAUACACCACAGGAAAGGGUGUGCUCCGCCUCAUCCUGCUCACAGAUUGGACUUGCGCCUCAUCAUAAGGGACAGUGCUGUCUCCACGUGGCUCAGGCUAUAUGGCUGAAUCGGAAAUGAUGUGGAAGUGGUCGUGGCCUAAUUUAAGGGAGUAUCCCUACACUAUCCUGGAGGGACUGAGGAAAACCACGAAAAACCUAGGCGGGGUAUCCGGUCCCCGGGCCGAGGUUUGAACCCGGGACAUCCCGAGCUUUGAUCACUGGACCACGACGUCCGAUAACGUUUUGUUUGUCCAACAGUCAGAAGGCUGAGGAAAUUACACGAAGCUCCUUCGUUCCGGUAGUUGGGCUCGUACAGUCCAGGAAACAUGACAGACACAGGCGAGAUUUCGGGUUCUCAAGGCGACGACUGCUAAGACGGAAUGAUGUAAUUUUUUGCAUUAUGCUUGAAAUAAAACCACCCUAA